CGGGUCCUGAGCUGCUGCUGGACUCCAACAUUCGCCUCUGGGUGGUCCUACCCAUCGUCAUCAUCACCUUCUUCGUGAGGAUGAUCCGCCAUUACGUGUCUAUCCUGUUGCAGAGCGAUAAGAAGCUCACCCAGGAGCAAGUGUCUGACAGUCAAGUCCUCAUUCGGAGCAGAGUCCUCAGGGAAAAUGGAAAAUACAUCCCCAAACAGUCUUUCUUGACCAGAAAAUACUACUUCAACAACCCAGAGGAUGGAUUUUUCAAAAAAACCAAACGGAAGGUAGUUCCUCCUUCUCCUAUGACUG